rnacentral:lncRNA from 1 species
GGCCUUGGCUCUCGCUGGUUCCUCUGUGCUGUCCCUCAGUUUUGCUUCGCAGAAGUACAUCCCAACGUCAGCAGAGGUCGGGUUGGUGAUCGUGAGGCGUCUCCCAAAACUGCUAAUUCCACUGGUGAUUUUUAUCCCAUUUCUCUUCCACAUUAUGCUUAGUCUCUCAACAGGUCUUGCACUGGCUACACAUUCCAAUGUGACUUCACUGGUCCCCACUACAACGCUCGUGUUCUGCGGAGGGAUGACGAUGAUGGGAGCCGUGGGGUCAGAUGGGUCCGUGGCACUCGCUAUGCUGAGAUGAAUAAGUGGGCUUGUCUUGUUCUCGCCGUUCUUUUCAUUGACAGCCUGGGCAU